GUUGAAUAUUUCAUUAACUCGUUAUCCCUUCCUUUCAAUGUGUCAUCAAACAAACUGUGCAGCGGUACGAAAAUAAUCUAAUAUUGGUUCGUUGUUGUUCGAGUAAAGAGGAAUUUCAAUUCGAAUUUAAGGUAAAUUGUGAACAAUUUGCAGUGUAUGAACAUAUUUAUUUAAGUGUUAAAAGGUACACUUUCAGCUUUUAUUCUGAAUAUCUUUAAACGAUUUCUUUUUAUAUCGAUGUUUUUUUUUUUAUUUAACCGGUUUGAUUAUAAGAAACUGUGUUUGUUUUCUAAACGGAAUUUUAUGGUAUUUUCUGCACGUGCUAUUUCCAUUCAAACAUGUUAGCUUCCUCCUUCGAAUUUUGAAAAUAUGAAUAGAUCCUCCUUCGAAUUUUGAAAAUAUGAAUAGAUCCUCCUUCGAAUUUUGAAAAUAUGAAUAGACACUUUUCUGGUGUUGACGAACGUAUAUUAAACUUAUAUAUAAUUUUGAUGAAGAAAUUUACCUAAAAGCAAUCGUAUUAAAAUUUGAUUAAAUAUCAUGAUAUCAUGGACAUAAAAUAAAUGCCCACGGGUGAACUAGAAGUUAUUUCAAGGUAAAUUUCAAAUACUGCAGUGACAAAUUAAAAAAAAAAUGCAUUUUAAGAGUUUAAUGGACUGAUUUGCAUCACUAUGAAAAAUCUACACAUGGAAAGAGGAAACAUUUGUCUAUCAUUUUAGCUCUGUCGUAGAGUUUUUAGGAGGUAUAGACUGUUGUUAAAUCGCAAUAAAAUGUGACUUUCUUUUUUUUUGUGAAUAAUUGUUUUCGAACUUAAAAAAAUAUACAUUUAAAAAGGAAAACAACCAAUGCUACUAAGGUUUAUAUUAUAAGGUUAGAUAGUAUAGAUUUAAGUUAAUAAUUAAAAACAUCGAAAUUUUAAUAUUCUUUAUUAUAAAUUGUAUCGUGAAUAUCCUAAUUGAUACCAUGCAGUUCUUAUUUUGUAAUUUAAAUUGCAGAAUGGCAACCGUUAUAGACUACAAUGAAGUUCUGAAAGACAGACAUUCCGACAUUUUCCUCAGUCAAACAGUUCUAAUUGUUAUUGGAACAGUAAUAGGGGUUAUAGGAAAUUGUGCAACUAUCGCCUUUUACUUCUUUCGGAUUAAGGAACGAGGAGAACGUUAUUUCAUUCCUAUAUUAGCAAUCGUAGAUCUCAUAGCUUGUUUAAUUAUUUCGACAAAACUUGUUAUGAAUAAUACAUAUUUAUUUGAUUUUCCCAGUAACACCUUUUGUUGUGUCACAACAUUCUUGCAAAUGUUUGCUACCGGACUGUCGGCCCACAUUAUCUUGAUCAUCAGUGUUCAAAGAUACCUUUUAGUAUGCAAACCUUUCGGACCAAAGAUGACAAUUUUCUGGAAAAGAGUUUUGGUUGCAGGUGCCUGUUUAUUUACAGUAUUGUAUUCCUGUCCACUUUUAGGAAUAUCAGGAACAAAUACAUCCGAAGACGUUUUUCUAAAUCAUACAAUAAAUACAACAACCUGUAGAUUGUCGACAGUACACUCAAUACCGACAACUAUUUACUUUGGUCUUCUUGCUCUAAUAAUACUGUUAAAUCUUGGUAUUACCACAGUCCUGUGCAUACCAAUCUUGAAAAGGAUUCAGAUUGCCUUUCCUAAUAAUAAGGAACAAAACAUAUCUGGUCAAGAAGUUUUGGAAAUAAGCUUGAAGAAGACAUCAAGUAUUGAGGUAUUAUCUGUUAUUAAAACACCAGUUAACAGUAAAAUGACCGGAAAUAGUAACACUCAUAAUAUUGUUUCGAAUCAAGAACUCGCAUAUGCAAAUAGAAAUAAGGGUCCUCUUACUUAUGCAGUGCAAAUAUCUUCUGCAACGGAUAAUUCAAGUACUGAACAAGAAGAAAAUGAAGAAAGCUUAAAGGAGUCUUCCAAAUCAAAGAGUAGUUCAGUAAAAGGAAGAAUAAGAACUAUGUUUUUGGUUAUAAUUUUUGUUUACGUUGUUUCUUAUAUUCCUACGAUUGUCUGUAUAAUUCUUAGAUACGCAAUUGGUAGUUUUAAAUUUAUAACUUUAUCGAGAGGAGAAACAUUUGCUUGGUUUUAUAUAGCACGGCUAUUUUUUGUUAAUCACAUAGUUAAUCCUUUUAUUUAUUGUUAUUUUGAUGUAAAAUUGAAAAGGGAAUUGAAAAAAUGCUGUAAACACGAGUCAAUUAAAAAAAAAUAAUUGUCACUGCAAAUAUUUAGAUUAAAACUUCAUGGAUACAGAAAAUUUAUAUCCACCCGGGCUGGAAUCAAAUUGACGACCUCCAGGACUCUUUUUCGUGUCUGAAAUACUUGUGUUUCUAAAAUUGUUUUGUUAUAAAUAAGACCUUUAGUUUCUUCAUGUUUCAUAUUUUUUAUAUUUGGUGCUUUAUUAACCAUCAAUGCGGAAUAGCAUUUUCUCUUUGAUGAAUAUUAUUUAGUUGGCUUUAAUUGCUUACAUUCAUUUUAUUUCAGUCUUAACGAACAGUUGUAGUCUCGCUUUAUGUAAAAAUGGCAAAAAUAGGGGAACAGCAGUCAAUAUUGAGUUAUAAUCUUAAUCACUACAAAAACAAACAAAUAUGUAACAAAAAAGAAAGAAAAAAGGCAUAUAUAAAAAUUAACAACUUUUUUUCAUAAUACGAUUUUAUUUAUCUAUGUGAAAUCCACCCAUAAAGGAUUGAAAGAUUUUAAGAACUUAGACUCUGUCGUAGAAUCGCUUGUUUAACGUUAAUCAGUGGAUCAGCAUUUAAACGUCUCACAGGUAGAUAUAAAAUAAUUUUGUCGUUCAAACUUGAACAGAAUAUAAUAUAUAGUUAUUUAAGGCAUAGUCUCUGCAGAAUCUAAAUAAAAAGUGUCCACAAAAGUGCAUAAAUACAAAGCAUUAUCAGAUAUGAAAGACAAGAACACAAAAAAUAUCAUAUAACAAUAACACAAUGGCGGGAUCCAUACGUACAGAGCCACGUAAUAUGCAUCAAAGAAACACAAAAAAUGGUAUAAACAAAGAACAUUAGCAAAAAAUAAAAAUAAGUAUACAAAAAUUAUAGAACCAAAACACAAUGACGGUACAGAGUCACGUCAAAUGGAUAUCAAUAAAACAGACUAAACAGUAAUAUUAUAAGAGAUUCUUUAGGAAACGAGAUCGUCAAAUUUGGCAACCAGUUAAAUAAAAAAAUAUACGUCUAAAAUAAAACAAAUGAAAUAAAACAAAAUUAUCAAGUUAUUGUAUAACGGAGAGAAAUCUUCUCAGAAAUAUAAUAAAAACAUGAGAAAUGCAGAUGUUUUUGCAUCGAUGAUUUUGAUGAAAGUUUGUGUUAAGUCCUAUUGAAGCACCCUUUAGUUGUUGUAUGAAAAUAAUUCUGUACAUUACUGAUAUAUAUCGUAUAAAUUAUCAUCCACUUUAAACGUUUAAGCAACAACUCUUGAAUCCUAAAGAUGAGCCUUUGAUAGAAGUUGGCGACUUUAUAAAGCAAUCUUUAGAUUUGCGAACGUGAUGUCCAUGUCCAUCAAAAAUUACAUUACCAUUUAUUUUUGUAUUGUUUUAUGUUUACAUUUGUAGUUUUUUACUUGUCUAUCUGUAAUAUAUACAUUUGUAUUUGUGUUUGCUUGACC
rnacentral:lncRNA from 1 species